rnacentral:rRNA from 1 species
CUAGGUGGCUAUAGAGAGAGGGAAACGCCUGGCCCCAUUCCGAACCCAGAAGCUAAGCCUCUCAUCGCUGAUAAUACUGCACCUUUCAGGUGUGGAAAAGUAGGUCGCUGCCUAGU